rnacentral:rRNA from 1 species
AGGUGGAGCGAAUCCCUAAAAGCCGGCCUCAGUUCGGAUUGGAGUCUGCAACUCGACUCCAUGAAGCUGGAAUCGCUAGUAAUCGCGGAUCAGCAUGCCGCGGUGAAUACGUUCCCGGCCCUUGUACACACCGCCCGUCACGCCAUGAAAGUUGGUAGCAUUCGAAGCCAGCUAGCUAACCUUCGGGAGGCUACUGUCGAAAAUGAGAUCCACGAUUGGGGCGAAGUCGUAACAAGGUAGCCGUAGGGGAACCUGCGGCUGGAUCACCUCCUUUCUAAGGAG